GCGGGGCCUCGAAGUGAGCACUACCUCUCCACGGCUUGCCUCUACCAGGAUGUUCUGAAUCAUGUUCUCCAGUAUUGCUUCCUGCAGAGUUUUGCGUGGUGGCUGCAGGCAAAACCGAGGGAUAAAACUGUGAAUGUUGGCAGGUGGUGGUGAGCAGAACACGGAAAGCUACCCCAGUGCAUCACCUCUAUCUCCUCUGGAACCAUCAACCUAGAGGAUAUGGAACUGCUGUCCCACGAAGAGAUGCUGUGGAAAGGGGCGGUGUCACCCAUGACACAGGGGUCAUAUCCUACUCCUUGGAAGCAGACGACCGCUGAGUUCCAUCCAAUGAUGUGUAUGGGUACCUCCACCUGGGAAGUCACAGAGGUGGGAAAGGAACUGGUGAGAUCAGAAAGCAGCAAGGAAGGCAGCAAGGAAGUCACAGCUCCAACUCCAGCCACCCCCAAUACCAUCUAGGCCACUGCUCACCGUGUAGGUCUUGGCCUCGAUGGGUGAGAAGAUCCACAGGAUCCGAGCA
ensembl:antisense Gm15841 predicted gene 15841